AGAGUUUGAUCCUGGCUCAGAAUCAACGCUGGCGGCGUGCCUAACACAUGCAAGUCGAACGCGAAAGCCCUUUCGGGGGUAAGUAGAGUGGCGUCCGGGUGAGUAACACGUAGGUAAUCUACCUCUGGGUGGGGAAUAACGUCUCGAAAGAGACGCUAAUACCGCAUAAUGCAGCGGCACCUAAUGGUGAAUAGUUGUUAAAGCGGGGGAUCGCAAGACCUCGCGCCUAGAGAGGAGCCUGCGGCAGAUUAGCUAGUUGGUGAGGUAAUGGCUCACCAAGGCUGCGAUCUGUAGCUGGUCUGAGAGGACGGCCAGCCACACUGGCACUGACACACGGGCCAGACUCCUACGGGAGGCAGCAGUGGGGAAUUUUGGGCAAUGGGCGCAAGCCUGACCCAGCAACGCCGCGUGAAGGAGGAAAUCCUUCGGGAUGUAAACUUCACAAGCAAGGGAAGAAUGCCUCAGGGUGAAUACCCCUGAGGAAG
rnacentral:rRNA from 1 species